CUACUGGGCUCCCCACCUCCAGGCGCUGCCCUUCCAGGCAGCCGGGACCACAUACAUCUUUGGGAAGGGGGGAGCGCUCAUCACCUACACGUGGCCCCCCAAUGACAGGCCCAGCACGAGGAUGGAUCGCCUGGCCGUGGGCUUCAGCACCCACCAGCGGAGCGCUGUGCUGGUGCGGGUGGACAGCGCCUCCGGCCUUGGAGACUACCUGCAGCUGCACAUCGACCAGGGCACCGUGGGGGUGAUCUUUAACGUGGGCACGGACGACAUUACCAUCGACGAGCCCAACGCCAUAGUAAGCGACGGCAAAUACCACGUGGUGCGCUUCACUCGAAGCGGCGGCAACGCCACCCUGCAGGUGGACAGCUGGCCGGUCAACGAGCGGUACCCGG
rnacentral:sRNA from 1 species